rnacentral:rRNA from 1 species
AUGUUAGGCCGUGUGGUCGACGCCUUGGGAGUACCCACUGAGGUAAAAGGGGCUGUAAGCGAUGACGAACGAAGACGUGUCGAAGUGAAACCAGGUAUUAUUGAAUGUAAAUUUGUGCACGAACCCAUGCAAACAGGCUUAAAAGCAGUAGAUAGCCUGGUUCCUACAGGCCGUUGUCAAUGAGAACUUAUAAUCAGGAAAGACAAACUGGAAAAACUACAAUAUCUAUCGAUACUAUAUUAA